ensembl:lncRNA
GUUAUGGUUCUUUCAUAAAUGUCACCAAUGCACAGCCUCCUCCCUCCAACUCUUCCAUAGACUCUAAUGUUAAAAUGGCUCAGAAGGUUCGUUUGAAAAUCAGAAGAGCAUGGUGUCUUUCCACUGUCACCACGUCCAUAUAAUAAACUCCACAGGCAUGAAAACUGAGAAUUCAGUAGACUAGAAGCUGCUGUCACUCACGGUGAAAGAAUUUCGUCAAUACGACUUUUACUUUUCAUUUGGGAACGAUUUGUUUCGGCCUGACUUUUCUGUUCAUUUUAAGCAGCAAAAGUGAGGUGCAUGUCUGUGUCGUGUGUAUGGAGCCAUUGGGUGCGGUCACUAUAGCAACCAGGCUCACACCUGCCUGCUUAACGAGCUCUGCCUGCCACUGUACCAAGAUUCAUCUUAAGCACUUCUCUUUCAACUGCUGCUGUGUCCACAGUGUUACAGCCAUCAUUUUACCCUCAAAACGUCGCCAUCGUUGUUCUCUUUCCAACAUCUUGUCUUUCAAAGCUCAGAGAUGUAAACUUUUUAAACUGUGUGGGUCCAAGUGGAGGGAUCACAUUUUAGUCAUUCAGUGAUUCAAAGAAUAUGACCUUUUAAUAUUCAUUCAGAUGUUUUCUGACUCUAAAUGUUCUUUUCUCAUUUCUUAGGGUUUUCUAAUUUACAAUUAAAACAUUUUCAGCUUUUUUCCAACUUCUUCUUCUGUGUAACCUUCAGCUUUUAGCAGUUCAGCACUUUUGUUUUCAG